CCUACGGGUGGCUGCAGUGGGGGAUAUUGCACAAUGGGGGAAACCCUGAUGCAGCGACGCCGCGUGGGCGAAGAAGUAUUUCGGUAUGUAAAGCACUAUCAGCAGGGAAGAAGAAAUGACGGUACCUGAGUAAGAAGCACCGGCUAAAUACGUGCCAGCAGCCGCGGUAAUACGGAGGGUGCAAGCGUUAUCCGGAUUUACUGGGUGGAAAGGGAGCGCAGGCGGCUGUGCAAGCCUGAUGUGAAAGCCCGCGGCAUAACCGGGGGACUGCAUUGGGAACUACUGGGCUGGAGUGCCGGAGAGGGAGGCAGAAUUCCAAGUGUAGCGGUGAAAUGCGUAGAGAUUAGGAGGAAGACCAGUGGCGAAGGCGGCCUACUGGACGGUGACUGACGCUGAGGCUCGAAAGCGUGGGGAGCAAACAGGAUUAGAUACCCCAGUAGUC
rnacentral:rRNA from 1 species